AGUCCUAAAAUCUGAUAGUUUAGGUACCCCAACCUCUUUUUUACCCUUUGAUAUUGUCAGGUAGCCUAAGUUUUCCAACUAUGUUCUUUUUCAAGAUUAUUUAGGUUAUCAGCAUGAUCAUGUCUGCUUUAAAAGCAGCUUGUCCAUAUCUUUUUAAGUUUCUUGUCAUUUGACUUUAAUAUCACAAUUCUUGUAGGAUUGCAUUCAAUCCUACAAUAAAGAAUAGUCAUCUGAUAAAAUUUGGAUGUUUGUCCCUUCCAAAUCUCAUGUUGAAAUGUGAUUCUCGAAAGAAAUGGAGCCUGGUGGGAGAUGCUUUGGUCAUGAGGGCUGAACCCUCAUGAAUGGCUUGGUGCUGUCCUGGCAGUAAUGAGUCAGUUCUACUCUAUGAGUCCGUGCAAGAUCUGGUUAUUUAAAAGAGCCUGACACCUCCUCCCUCUGGCUCUAGCUCCCCCUCUCACUCCCUCUCUCGCUAUGUGACACACUGGCUCCUUUUGCCUUCUGCCACGACUGUAAGCUUCUUGAAGCCCUCACUAAAAGCAGAAGCUGGCAUGAUGCUUCAGCCUGCAGAACCAUAAGCCAAAUAAACCACUUUUCUUUAUAAAUUACCCAACCUCAGGUACUUCUUUAUAGCAAUGCAAAAUUGACUAAUACACCAUCUUAAAAAUAUUUUGUCUUGGCCAGGCGCAGUGGCUCACGCCUGUAAUCUCAACACUUUGGGAGGCCAAGGAGAAGAGCAAGUAAAAUGUUGAACAAGAAGACAGAAGUGUCUUCUUGCAGUUCCUGUAAGAAGGCAGAAGUAUUUGCAGAGGGGAGAAUGUGGAAGAAAUAGAGAAUAAUUAUCUCUUACCAAAUGUAAUGGCUUUUGUUGUGUUUUUUCUUUUCUAAUAAAAUAGUGUUAGCUGCCCUUUUCGUGUUUCUGUUUGUCUGUCAAAUAUUUUCCUGUCAUUUACAAGUUAUUUUUUAUUUAUAAUUUUAAGUAUUUUGUAAACAAUUUGUGAUUUGAUUUUGUGUUUUAAACCUUAUCCAAGCAUUUGUCAUUUACUAAAAUAAUUAACCCAUUUACUUGUUUUAUCAUACGGAAGUCUACCUUUUAACUGACACUUUAAGUGAUAGAAUAGUGCUUAUUAUAACUUAGGGUACAAGUGAUUUUUAACAAUGUAGUAAUGGCUAAAUUACAAAGCAAAGACACUACUACCGAGCUCAGUGGAAAGACAAAAUCACUCUACAAUUGGUUCUUUCAUAUAUUGAAAAUAUCAUCAAUUAAAAAAAUAAACAUCACAUCAGACGGAACCAGAGACACUCAAGAAGAACAAACUGCAAGGAAAAUUUGACCAACAAAUUAUAGCAAGAGCAAGAGUUUAACACUUGGGAUCCUUUUUUUUUCUAUUAAGAAUAUGUUGUGGCCUUUUUGGGCUUCCAAAAAUGACGUUAUAAUAGGUUUAGCUAAUAAUAAUGAGUUAACAUUGAGUGGCUGUUUUGUGGGAGGCACUGUUCUAAGAGUUUUACAUUUAUCAACUUAUGUAAUCCUCACAAAGAUACUAAAAGCUCCUAUAAGUCUCCUUACUAUUAGAUAGUAUGCACCCAGUAUUGCCAUAACCAUCAGAGAAAUACCAAAACCCUUCUGGGUUUUUCUGUAACAUAUUACUUAGUAACCACUUUGCUAUGUACCCUGUGUAUAUGUUUAGAAAAUAAAAGAAAAUCUAUUCUAAUGUGUGUAUUAAAAUGGCAAUACUGGUGCAUAUUAUCUAACAGUAAAGAGCAACUCUUUAAUUAUUGAGACCACAAGUCACCAAAUAAUGUCACCUGGCAGUGGUCAGAGACAGGUGAUGGGGUCUAAGGGUGGUGCUGGCUCAUAGGAAGAAAGACCUUGGUGACUGUUGAGGAAACUAAGGCUACAGAGAGGCUGUGCGGUGGCAAGAGUGUCUGCGGUGCCUACUGGCUGCUCCUUGGAAGCCCAGCAUUGGCAGGGGCAUCUGUCCAGGUGGCAGGACAGGUGGUAUUCACAGCAGCAUUGUCAGCAUGAACCAAGGUUCAAGCAAUAGAGUAUGUAUUCCCAUCUAAAUGAAUACUUGGCUCUGCCUUAUAAGCAAUGUGUCCAGCCACCUUCUGGCUGCAACAAAACACCAGGCAUCAAGCCACCUUCUGGCUAAAAUAAAGCACUAGACACCAAGGACCUAAUGAUAAUGAGUUAAAUGGGAAUGUUGAAACAUUUUGAUGCAGUUCCUAUGUCAAGCCAUGACUCAUCGGGGUAAAAUCGCAAUUACCACUUUUCAAAAUUAACAGGAGAUUUGCGAAUAAAAUGAUUUGAUAAGGAGUUUUCUCUGUAACCACAUUAUUUAGUAACCACUUUGCUAUGUACCCUGUCUAUAUAUUUAGAAAAUAAAAAAAAAUAUAUUUUAAUAUAUGUAUUUAUUUAAGUAAUAAUUUAUAUUACUAUACCAGUGGCUGAGUAUGUUGAAUAUUAUAUCGGAGAUCUAUUUUUAUUCCCUUUUUUACAGAUGAAGAAACUAGACACAGAAUAGUUAAGUAGCUUGUCCAAGGUUAUAAAUACCAGCUCUGAGUAAAUAUCAGAGCUGAGAUUC
rnacentral:lncRNA from 1 species